rnacentral:rRNA from 2 species
CCUGCCCUUGAGACUGGGAUAACUCCGGGAAACCGGAGCUAAUACCGGAUAACACAUAUCUUCGCAUGAGGAUAUGUUAAAAGGUGGCUUUUACCUACCACGCAAGGAUGGGCCCGCGGCGCAUUAGCUAGUUGGUGAGGUAACGGCUCACCAAGGCGACAAUGCGUAGCCGACCUGAGAGGGUGAUCGGCCACACUGGGACUGAGACCCGGCCCAGACUCCUACGGGAGGCAAAGUAGGGAAUCUUCCGCAAUGGACGAAAGUCUGACGGACCAACGCCGCGUGAGUGAUGAAGGUUUUCGGAUCGUAAAGCUCUGUUGUUAGGGAAGAACAAGUACCUGUUAAAUAAACGGGUACCUUGACGGUACCUAACCAGAAAGCCACGGCUAACUACGUGCCAGCAGCCGCGGUAAUACGUAGGUGGCAAGCGUUGUCCGGAAUUAUUGGGCGUAAAGCGCGCGCAGGCGGUUCCUUAAGUCUGAUGUGAAAGCCCACGGCUCACCCGUGGAGGGUCAUUGGAAACUGGGGAACUUGAGUGCAAAAGAAGAGAGCGGAUUUCCACGUGUAGCGGUGAAAUGCAUAGAGAUGUGGAGGAACACCAGUGGCGAACGCGGCUCUCUGGUCUGUAACUG